rnacentral:rRNA from 1 species
UACGUAGGUGGCAAGCGUUGUCCGGAUUUACUGGGCGUAAAGAGCGCGCAGGCGGUCGUACAAGUCGCGUGUGAAAGCCCCCGGCUCAACUGGGGAGGGUCACGCGAUACUGUUCGACUCGAAGGCAGGAGAGGGAAGCAGAAUUCCCGGUGUAGUGGUGAAAUGCGUAGAUAUCGGGAGGAAUACCAGUGGUGAAGGCGGCUUCCUGGCCUGUUCUUGACGCUGAGGCGCGAAAGCUAGGGUAGCAAACGGG